rnacentral:rRNA from 1 species
CUACGGAGGGUGCGAGCGUUAAUCGGAAUUACUGGGCGUAAAGCGCGCGUAGGCGGUUUAGUAAGUCGGAUGUGAAAGCCCUGGGCUCAACCUGGGAAUUGCAUUCGAUACUGCUUGACUAGAGUAUGGUAGAGGGAAGUGGAAUUUCCGGUGUAGCGGUGAAAUGCGUAGAUAUCGGAAGGAACACCAGUGGCGAAGGCGACUUCCUGGGCCAAUACUGACGCUGAGGUGCAAAAGCGUGGGGAGCAAACAGGAUUAGAUACCCCUGUAGUCC